GACGAACGCUUUCGGCGUGCUUAACACAUGCAAGUCGAACGGAAAGGCCCUGCUUUUGUGGGGUGCUCGAGUGGCGAACGGGUGAGUAACACGUGAGUAACCUGCCCUUGACUUUGGGAUAACUUCAGGAAACUGGGGCUAAUACCGGAUAGGAGCUCCUGCUGCAUGGUGGGGGUUGGAAAGUUUCGGCGGUUGGGGAUGGACUCGCGGCUUAUCAGCUUGUUGGUGGGGUAGUGGCUUACCAAGGCUUUGACGGGUAGCCGGCCUGAGAGGGUGACCGGCCACAUUGGGACUGAGAUACGGCCCAGACUCCUACGGGAGGCAGCAGUGGGGAAUAUUGCACAAUGGGCGGAAGCCUGAUGCAGCAACGCCGCGUGCGGGAUGACGGCCUUCGGGUUGUAAACCGCUUCCGCCUGUGACGAAGCGUGAGUGACGGUAAUGGGUAAAGAAGCACCGGCUAACUACGUGCCAGCAGCCGCGGUGAUACGUAGGGUGCGAGCGUUGUCCGGAUUUAUUGGGCGUAAAGGGCUCGUAGGUGGUUGAUCGCGUCGGAAGUGUAAUCUUGGGGCUUAACCCUGAGCGUGCUUUCGAUACGGGUUGACUUGAGGAAGGUAGGGGAGAAUGGAAUUCCUGGUGGAGCGGUGGAAUGCGCAGAUAUCAGGAGGAACACCAGUGGCGAAGGCGGUUCUCUGGGCCUUUCCUGACGCUGAGGAGCGAAAGCGUGGGGAGCGAACAGGCUUAGAUACCCUGGUAGUCCACGCUGUAAACGGUGGGUACUAGGUGUGGGGUCCAUUCCACGGGUUCCGUGCCGUAGCUAACGCUUUAAGUACCCCGCCUGGGGAGUACGGCCGCAAGGCUAAAACUCAAAGGAAUUGACGGGGCCCCGCACAAGCGGCGGAGCAUGCGGAUUAAUUCGAUGCAACGCGUAGAACCUUACCUGGGUUUGACAUGGAUCGGGAGUGCUCAGAGAUGGGUGUGCCUCUUUUGGGGUCGGUUCACAGGUGGUGCAUGGCUGUCGUCAGCUCGUGUCGUGAGAUGUUGGGUUAAGUCCCGCAACGAGCGCAACCCUUGUUCACUGUUGCCAGCACGUUAUGGUGGGGACUCAGUGGAGACCGCCGGGGUCAACUCGGAGGAAGGUGGGGAUGACGUCAAGUCAUCAUGCCCCUUAUGUCCAGGGCUUCACGCAUGCUACAAUGGCUGGUACAGAGAGUGGCGAGCCUGUGAGGGUGAGCGAAUCUCGGAAAGCCGGUCCCAGUUCGGAUUGGGGUCUGCAACUCGACCUCAUGAAGUCGGAGUCGCUAGUAAUCGCAGAUCAGCAACGCUGCGGUGAAUACGUUCCCGGG
rnacentral:rRNA from 1 species